UGAGUAACCUGCCCUUAACUCUGGGAUAAGCCCGGGAAACUGGGUCUAAUACCGGAUAUGACUCCUCAUCGCAUGGUGGGGGGUGGAAAGCUUUAUUGUGGUUUUGGAUGGACUCGCGGCCUAUCAGCUAGUUGGUGGGGUAACGGCUCACCAAGGCAACGACGGGUAGCUGGUCUGAGAGGAUGGCCAGCCACAUUGGGACUGAGACACGGCCCAGACUCCUACGGGAGGCAG
rnacentral:rRNA from 1 species